rnacentral:rRNA from 1 species
AACGAACGCUGGCGGCAUGCCUAACACAUGCAAGUCGAACGAGAACUUCGGGUUUAGUGGCGCACGGGUGGGUAACGCGUGGGAAUCAGCACGUGGGUUAGGAAUAACAGAUGGAAACGAAAGUUAAUACCGGAUGAUGUAGUAAGUCCAAAGCUUUCUCGCCCCAGGAUGAGCCCGCGUAGGAUUAGCUAGUUGGUGAGGUACAGGCUCACCAAGGCGACGAUCCUUAGCUGGUCUGAGAGGAUGAUUAGCCACACUGGGCCUGAGGCCCGGCCCAGACUGCUAGGGGGCGCAGGGGUAGGGAGUACUGGGGGAUGGGCGAUAACCUGAUCCAGCAGUGCCGCGUGAGUGAUGAAUGGCGUAGGGUUGUAAUGCUCUUUUACCCGGGAUGUGAGUGACAGUACCGGGAGAAUAAGCUCCGGCUAACUCCGUG